GAUCUCCUGGCGGCGCGGCGAGGCGCUUGCCAGCACCACCCGCUUACUGACCAGCUUCCCCAGCACUGGGUUCAACACCAUGGCUGCCGCGGAUCCUCAGCCUCCUGCUGCACGCUGAUCUUCCAGUAUAGUUCCACUGGCGUGAAGCUGCAAUGGAGCAAUGAAAUUGUGACUCCAUCCCAACCCAUGUAAAUGUAUAAAGAAGAGACUUGACAUGAAAGAACACCUUCUGUUCCUGCCAGCGUGUUUUGACAGACAGGAACAAAUGCAGAUCUGUCUACAGUCACCUCUACAGCCUUUAGAGAUGCAACAUAACUUCCCUGUCUUAGGUGUGGCAUCCCAUUAACUGAAGAGUAAGACAAGAAAGAUUUGUUUCCCUUGGUUGAAUUCUGCUUGUAUGUUGCUCCUCUGCUUUGCACAACAGACUUUCUGAAAGUAAAAUAAAUAAAUAAACCAAUAAAUAAAUGAAAGAGAAAUAUGUACACUCAUGUUUUACGAACUUUUAAAUUUGUUUUUCAAAUAUAAACAAUUCAUCAACAAUUUUCCAUGAAAGUUCAGACAAUGCCCAAAAAUGGAAACCAAUAAAAGAGGUUUUUCAUGU